rnacentral:sRNA from 1 species
AGAGAAAGGCUCACCUGACCAACCAGUAUAUGCAACGAGUGGCUGGAAUGAGAGCACUUCCUGCCAAUGCCAUCUUAAAUCAGUUCCAGCCUGCAGCGGGUGGCUACUUUGUGCCAGCAGUCCCACAGGCUCAGGGAAGGCCUCCAUAUUAUACACCUAACCAGUUAGCACAGAUGAGGCCUAAUCCACGCUGGCAGCAAGGUGGGAGACCUCAAGGCUUCCAAGGAAUGCCAAGUGCUAUACGCCAAUCUGGGCCUCGUCCAACUCUUCGCCAUCUGGCUCCAACUGGGUCUGAGUGCCCGGACCGCUUGGCUAUGGACUUUGGUGGGGCUGGUGCCGCCCAGCAAGGGCUGACUGACAGCUGCCAGUCUGGAGGUGGUAUUGGAUGCACACAGAAGGGGGAAAGAUGGGAUUUGACGGGUCUUUGCCCAGACUGAUGGGCUUUAAUUGUAUUUGUUCUUUCCCUAAGGCGUUCCCACAGCUGUGCAGAACUUAGCGCCACGCGCUGCUGUUGCCGCUGCUGCUCCCCGGGCUGUUGCCCCCUACAAGUACGCCUCCAGUGUCCGCAGCCCUCAUCCUGCCAUACAGCCUCUGCAGGUGAGGUUCACCAGACAGAAUGCUUAAAAGGAUUUCCCCCAUUUCCACUUGAUGUAAAAGAAGCUGUGCUUCUGAGUCCUUCAACAGGUAUUAAAUGCCUGCUCUGUGUUAUGACGCUAUGUUCUGAUUCACUGUCCCUGCCCUUCAGGGGCUCACUAGUGGGAAAGA